rnacentral:lncRNA from 1 species
AUGUCCUGUGUCCCCAUGUCUUGUGUCCCCAUGUCCUCAUGUCCCUGUGUCCCGUGUCCCCCCGUGUCACGUGUCCCCUGUGUCACCAUGUCCGUGUCCCCAUGUCUUCUGUGUCCUCGUGUCCUCACGUCCCUGUGUCCCGUGUCCCCCCGUGUCCUGUGUCCCCAUGUGUCCCCCCAUGUCACUGUGUCAUUGUGUCCCAUGUUCUGUGUUCUUGUGUCCCCGUGUCCCCUGUGUUCCCGUGUGUCCCCAUGUCCUUCUGUCCUGCGUCCCCGUGUCCCCCACGUCCCCGUGUUUCCCAUUUCCCUGCGUCCCGUGUCAUCUCGUGUCCCGUGUCCUGCUGUGUCCUAUGUCCCCAUGUGUCCCGUGUCCUGCUGUGUCCCCUGUCCUGGCGUGUCCCGUGGCACCACGUGUCCCAUGUCGUGGCGUGUCCUGGUGUGUGCUGGCCUGUCCUGGCGUGUCCCAUGUCCCCCGUUGUUCUGUGUCCCAUGUCAUCACGUGUCCCGUGUCCUGGUGUUUCCAUGUCCCGUGUCAUGGCAUGUGCUGGCGUGUCCCUUGUCCCAUGUUGUUCUGUGUCCCGUGCCAUCAUGUUUCCCGUGUCCUGAUGUGUCCCGUGUCCUGGCGUGUCCCGUGUUGUGGCAUGUCCUGGUGUGUCCUGUGUGCUGGCGUGUCAUGGCGUGUCCUGGUGUGUCCCAUGUCAUCACAUGUCCCAUGUCCCGGUGUGUCCUGUGUCCCGUGUCCUGGCGUUUCCCAUGUCCUUGCAUGUCCCAUGGCGUGGCGUGUCCUGGCGUGUGCUGGCGUGUCCCAUGUUGUUCUGUGUCCCAUGUCAUCAUGUGUCCCAUGUCCCGGUGUGUCCCAUGUCCCGUGUCCUGGUGUUUCCCAUGUCCCGUGUCUUGGCAUGUUGUGGCGUGUCCUGGCGUGUCCUGGCAUGUCCCAUGUCCCAUGUUGUUCUGUGUCCCGUGCCAUCACGUGUCCCAUGUCCCCAUGUGUCCCAUGUCCCCAUGUGUCCYGUGUCCUGUGUCCCGGUGUUUCCCACGUCCCGGUGUUWMCCGUGUCCUGGUGUUUCCCAUGUCCCGUGUCUUGGCAUGUCGUGGCGUGUCGUGGCAUGUCGUGGCGUGUCCCAUGUCCCACGUUGUUCUGUAUCCCGUGCCAUCACGUGUCCCAUGUCCUGAUGUGUCCCAUGUCCUGAUGUGUCCCAUGUCCCGUGUCCUGGUGCUUUCCAUGUCCUGGCGUGUCCUGGUGUGUCCCGUGUUGUGGCGUGUCAUUGCGUGUCCUGGCAUGUCUCAUGUCCCAUGUUGUUCUGUGUCCCGUGCCAUCACGUUUCCCGUGUCCUGA